CCUACGGGUGGCAGCAGUGAGGCAUAUUGGUCAAUGGGAGAGAUCCUGAACCAGCCAAGCCGCGUGAGGGAAGACGGCCCUAUGGGUUGUAAACCUCUUUUGUCGGAGAACAAAACCCGGGACGUGUCCCGGACUGCGUGUAUCCGACGAAAAAGCAUCGUCUAACUCCGUGCCAGCAGCCGCGGUAAUACGGAGGAUUCGAGCGUUAUACGGAUUUAGUGGGGUAAAAGGGUGCGUAGGCGGUCCGUUACGGAAGCGGAAAAAUUGCGGGGCUUAACCCCGUCGAGCCGUUGAAACUGGCGGAUGUGAGUUGGCGAGAAGUAGGCGGAAUGCGCGGUGUAGCGGUGAAAUGCAUAGAUAUCGCGCAGAACUCCGAUUGCGAAGGCAGCGUACCGGCGCCAGACUGACGCUGAGGCACGAAAGCGUGGGGAUCGAACAGGAUUAGAUACCCGGGUAGUC
rnacentral:rRNA from 1 species